UGGCAUGUCUGCACAGUGGAUCAAAGUUACCCUCCCACCUGAACCACAGCACUUUGAACAGAUAGAGCGAUGAAGAGACUGCUCUAUCUCAGUCCAUGGCAACUGUAGUGCCUUUUGCGUCCUGUUAUGGAAACAGCACUCUCCAUCAGCCUCUCCAACUCUUUGGGAAGGGCCAUAAGUGUGGCUACAUGUUCCUCAUCGCCUACCGUAGCCCUCGUAAUGUCCCCCGCCCGCAUUUGGCAUGCAAUGCCCCUAUAUUGACUCUGUCAGAUCUGCAGAAUGCUGCGUGUGAUGCGUUUUGAGGCUGCUGCUGCAGCCAACAACAGGAAGCAAGCAUCUUCUCCUCCACCACCUAGCUCUCCGGCCAAGUCAAACAUGAGAUGUCUGCCUUAAUGCUUUCGCCACAGACGUAAUACUAGUAACAUAAAGAGUUUUUCGAUGAUAAUGGAUCCCAAGAGCCCACCCCUACCCUUCCAACAAUCCUUACCCAGCCGAUGGGAGUGAGUUCCCUUCACGUUUCCACACAAACCCUUACAGAGAAGCACAGACUCCAUGUCCCCAUGCUUCGUUUGUUGGGGGUAGGGAGGGCACUCCUGAGACAAAGAAAACAUGUAUUUUGUGUACCAGUGACUGACAGACUCAGCUUCAACCACACCGAUUUAUUUUGUCUUGUGCGUAAUUUCAAAAGGUGAGACUCUGCUCACUGCAAAGGUCAGUCAGUAAUUAAACCUGUGGAAUGUUUCCAGGGGUCAGGAAAGGAGACCAAACUGUUUUGGGGGUUUGGGUGUUGGGUUGUUUUCUUUUUUAGGUGUUUAAUUCUGGGUGUACAUUGCUAAACGGAAAGUGUAAUUGACUGACAUUGGCACUGUGAAAACCUGUAUUGGAUU